UACGUAGGGUGCAAGCGUUGUCCGGAAUUAUUGGGCGUAAAGAGCUCGUAGGCGGUUUGUCGCGUCUGCUGUGAAAACUCGGGGCUUAACCCCGGGCCUGCAGUGGGUACGGGCAGACUAGAGUGCGGUAGGGGAGACUGGAAUUCCUGGUGUAGCGGUGAAAUGCGCAGAUAUCAGGAGGAACACCGGUGGUGUAGACGGCUUUCUGGACCGUAACUGACGCUGAGACACGAAAGCGUGGGUAGCAAACAGG
rnacentral:rRNA from 1 species